rnacentral:rRNA from 1 species
GACGAACGCUGGCGGCGUGCUUAAUACAUGCAAGUCGAACGGAAAGGCCCUGCUUUUGUGGGGUGCUCGAGUGGCGAACGGGUGAGUAUCACGUGAGUAACCUGCCCUUGACUGUGGGAUAACUUCAGGAAACUGGGGCUAAUACCGGGUAGGAGCUCCUGCUGCAUGGUGUGGGUUGGAAAGUUUCGGCGGUUGGGGAUGUACUCGCGGUUUCUCAGCUUGUUGGUGGGGUAGUGGCUUACCAAGGCUGUGACGGGUAGCCGGCCUGAGAGGGUGACCGGCCACAUUGGGACUGAGAUACGGCCCAGACUGCUACGGGAGGCAGCAGUGGGGAAUAUUGCACGAUGGGCGGAAGCCUGAUGCAGCAACGCCGCGUGCGGGAUGACGGCCUUCGGGUUGUAAACCGCUUUCGCCUGUGACGAAGCGUGAGUGACGGUAAUGGGUAAAGAAGCACCGGCUAACUACGUG